AUUUCUAUAGUUUAAUUUAUUAUUAUAAAACAUUAAAUUGCAAAUUUAAAAAUAUUUUUAAAAAUUAGAAAUU
rnacentral:tRNA from 1 species